GCGCUGCUAGCUCAACUGGUCAGAGCAAUGCACUUUUAAUGCGUGGGAUCAGGGUUCAAGUCCCUGGCGGCGUA
rnacentral:tRNA from 1 species